UCCUGUGGCAUAACGUCGAAGGGCAUGUUCUCCACGAAAACGAGGGCUUAAAGGACCCUUUUCAAAUGGAUAGUUAAUAGUCACUUUCUUUUCAAAGAAGUACUUGAGCGUCAGCAUCAGACCUCGAACCAUUUCAGUCAAAAAGAGAGUAUUUAUGCUUCGCUCAAAGACUGAAUUCCAAUCUUUUGAUAGCUCCUUUGCUAGCUGCUCUCUUUCCUCAUCAUCUUUGUCAGUUGAAAAUGAAUGUUUGGUAGCAAAUGAUCGAGUACCAAGCAGAGUUCCAUUAGGUGUAUUAGUCCCUUGCCAUGCUUGUCCUGCUAAAACAAGCUGACGAGAACGAAGAGCAGAUAGAGACUUGCGAGCUAAUAUAGCGGCCAUUGGAGUCCAGAUGCGAGAAAACCACAAGGCUAUUGGCAGCAACUGAAAUGCUCCGCUUACACUAGUCGGU
rnacentral:misc_RNA from 1 species